UGUCGUCUCAAUUUUUACUUUAUUUUUCACAAAACUUGUCGUCUCAUUGAUCUUCUUUUAACUCAUAACCCAACAAUUGGGGCUUCAAUUCUUCUCUAACCAUUGAUGAAUCGAAAUUAGUAGAAACGCUUUUCGAAGUUAAAGAGUUUUAUGGAAGUGGAAUUAGAGUUUCUCAUCCCUUCACCCGCUGGAAAAAUGAGAUGGGUGUUUUUUAAAGAACAAUGUUAAGGGUCAACUUUUGGCAGCCGUAGGAAGAGAUGCAAUUAUGCAAAUAAUCAAUUCUUUCAUGUUGCUUGGGCUGUGGUGCGAAAGGAAAAUAUAGAGAGUUGGUUAUGGUUUAUCCAGAAGCUUAAGACUGAUUUGAAACUUCAAGAUGGAACUGGAUUCACACUUAUCUCUCAUAGACAAAAAGGCUUACUUAAUGUUGUUGACCAAGAAUUGCCUAAGAUGGAACACCGUGCGCGCCACACCUAUGGAAACCUAAGGAGAGUUUAUCCAGGUAAAGAAUUGUCUAAGCUUUUAUUGUGCCCGGCAAAAAAGAAAGGACAGGUCAUCUUACAUUCCAUAAAAUUGUACGAUUCACAAUGAAAUUACACGUCUCAUCUGCUAUAGUAUAAUUUUUUUUUAUCUUUUUAAUUAAAUUUUAUUUUUUAGCUAUAUAAUACAUAUAUGAUCAUUGCAUGAGAACUCAUUAACAUAACACACAAUAGUGAGCAAAGAAAUGGCUUCAUCACUUAAUAUCAUCGAGGUAGCACGAGUCACCCCUUCGAACUUUGACUCGUCUGAGUCCCUCACUCUCCCACUCACUUUCUUUGACAUUACAAACUCCA